UACGUAGGGUGCGAGCGUUAAUCGGAAUUACUGGGUGUAAAGCGUGCGCAGGCGGUUUUGUAAGACAGAUGUGGAAUCCCCGGGCUUAACCUGGGAACUGCAUUUGUGACUGUAAGACUAGAGUGCGGCAGAGGGGGGUAGAAUUCCACGUGUAGCAGUGAAAUGCGUAGAGAUGUGGAGGAAUACCGAUGGCGAAGGCAGCCCCCUGGGAUAACACUGACGCUCAUGUACGAAAGCGUGGGGAGCAAACAGG
rnacentral:rRNA from 1 species